GACGAACGCUGGCGGCGUGCUUAACACAUGCAAGUCGAACGGAAAGGCCCUGCUUGCAGGGUACUCGAGUGGCGAACGGGUGAGUAACACGUGGGUGAUCUGCCCUGCACUUCGGGAUAAGCCUGGGAAACUGGGUCUAAUACCGGAUAUGACCUUCCAUGUAGUGUGGGGGGUGGAAAGAUUUAUCGGUGUGGGAUGAGCCCGCGGCCUAUCAGCUUGUUGGUGGGGUAAUGGCCUACCAAGGCGUCGACGGGUAGCCGGCCUGAGAGGGUGGACGGCCACAUUGGGACUGAGAUACGGCCCAGACUCCUACGGGAGGCAGCAGUGGGGAACAUUGCACAAUGGGCGGAAGCCUUAUGCAGCGACGCCGCGUGGGGGAUGACGGCCUUCGGGUUGUAAACCUCUUUCGACAGGGACGAAGCUUCGGUGACGGUACCUGUAUAAGAAGCACCGGCUAACUACGUG
rnacentral:rRNA from 1 species